AUAGUACAGCCAAAAUGGAACGUGCGAUUGAAAUGCGGGUUCAUUUGAUGCUUUUGUUUGCUCUAGACUAUUAUUUUUUUGGGGGUAAUUUUUGACGAGUAAACUGAAUGUAAGUCUUUCAUUUAAAUCUCAGGAGCUUUCCAGAUGUUUACGCGCACUGAUACAAGAGAAGUGUUUCUGUACUGUGUGGAAUCUACUCAGUGCAGGGCGGCCAUUAUGAGGUGUGUGAAGGUCCGUUUCUGUUACCGUGUCCUGUAGCUACAGAACAAAGGACCGGGAUGGCGUGGUCAGGUCAACCCAGAGGUCUGGUGAUCUUUGAAGUGUUCAACUGCAAGUGUGGAAUCAUCUUAUACCUACAGCAGGAUGCUGAGUAGGGGUGGGUACCGGUACAGAAAAUUCAGGUCCAGGUCCGGUUCAGGUCCAGAGUAUCA